GACGAACGCUGGCGGUGUGCUUAACACAUGCAAGUGGUGCGACGAACCAGGCUUCGGCCUGGGGCAAAGCCGCGAACGGGUGAGUAACACGUGGGUAAUCUGCCCCGAUGACCGGGACAACCCGAGGAAACUCGGGCUAAUACCGGAUGUGGUGCCCAGACACAAGUCUGGUCACUAAAGGUAGCUUCGGCUUCCGCAUUGGGAGGGGCCCGCGGCCCAUUAGCUAGUUGGUGGGGUCAAGGCCUACCAAGGCAACGAUGGGUAGCUGGUCUGAGAGGACGAUCAGCCACACUGGGACUGAGACACGGCCCAGACUCCUACGGGAGGCAGCAGUGGGGAAUCUUGCGCAAUGCGCGAAAGCGUGACGCAGCAACACCGCGUGAGGGAAGACGGCCUUAGGGUUGUAAACCUCUUUCAGAUGGGACGAAGGUUGUCCGGUGAAUAGCCGAGAUGAUUGACGGUACCGUCAGAAGAAGCUCCGGCUAACUACGUGCCAGCAGCCGCGGUAA
rnacentral:rRNA from 1 species